rnacentral:rRNA from 1 species
AGUAUUUGACAAUGGGGGCAACCCUGAUCCAUCCAUGCCGCGGGGGUGAAGAAGGUCUUCGGCUUGUAAAGCACUUUAGGUCGGGAGGAAGGGCUCUACGCUAAUAGCCUGAAGCUUUGCCGUUACCAGCAGAAUAAGCACCGGCUGACUCUGUGCCAUCAGCCGCGGUAAUACAGAGGGUGCAAGCGUUAAUCGGAGUUACUGGGCGUAAAGCGCGCGUAGGUGGUUCAGUAAGAUGGGUGUGAAAUCCCCGGGCUUAACCUGGGAACUGCUUUCAUAACUGCUGAGCUAGAGUACGGUAGAAGGUAGUGGAAUUUCCUGUGUAGCGGUGAAAUGCGUAGAUAUAGGAAGGAACACCAGUGGCGAAGGCGACUACCUAGACUGAUACUGACACUGAGGUGCGAAAGCGUGGGGAGCAAACA